rnacentral:rRNA from 1 species
GUACACGCUGUGACUAGCAUAUCAAUAAGCGGAGGAAAAGAAACUAACAAGGAUUCCCCUAGUAACGGCGAGUGAAGCGGGAAGAGCUCAAAUUUGAAAUCUUAAAGGGUUUCCCUUUACGAAUUGUAGUUUAAAGAAGUGUUUUCUGUUGAGGUUUUGGUAAAAGUUCUUUGGAAUAGGACAUCAUAGAGGGUGAGAAUCCCGUAUUUGACCUUUACUUUCAACUUUGUGAUACACUUUCAAAGAGUCGGAUUGUUUGGGAAUGCAGUCCAAAAUGGGUGGUAAAUUUCAUCUAAAGCUAAAUAUUGGCGAGAGACCGAUAGCGAACAAGUACGUGAGGGAAAGAUGAAAAGAACUUUGAAAAGAGAGUUAAACAGUACGUGAAAUUGUCAAAAGGGAAGCGUUUGACACCAGUGUUGUUUUUCUGAAAAUCAAUUAAAGAACUGUUUAUGCUAAGCUGUUUAGACUUUAUCAGCUAACUGUUUAGUUUGAGCUUUUCUUUAAUGCACUUUUCAGUUAACAAGUCAACAUCAAUUUCUUUUGCUGUAAAAAAGCUUGAGGAAGGUGGCUUGAGAUUCGUCUUAAGUGUUUAUAGCCUCUUGCCUAUGCAGUCGGAGAGAUUGAGGUCUGCAGCGUAGAUCCUUCGGGGCUAAAUGCAUUUGUGCUAAGUUAUAGCAUUUUAUAGACAACUUGUUGACUAUGAUUUGUCUUGUAGCUUACUCGCUUAUGUUAUUUUACCUACGCUUAGGAUGUUGAAGAUGUAGCACAUCAU